rnacentral:tRNA from 2 species
GGGGAUAUGGCGAAAUUGGUAGACGCUACGGACUUAAAAUCCGUCGAUUUUAGAAAUCGUGAG